rnacentral:rRNA from 1 species
GAUGAACGCUGGCGGUAUGCUUAACACAUGCAAGUCGAACGGUCCUUUCGGGGAUAGUGGCGGACGGGUGAGUAACGCGUGAGAAUCUGCCUUUAGGACGGGGACAACAGUUGGAAACGGCUGCUAAAACCCGAUGUGCCCUUCGGGGUGAAAUAUUUAUAGCCUGAAGAUGAGCUCGCGUCUGAUUAGCUAGUAGGUGAGGUAAAGGCUCACCUAGGCGACGAUCAGUAACUGGUCUGAGAGGAUGACCAGUCACACUGGGACUGAGACACGGCCCAGACUCCUACGGGAGGCAGCAGUGGGGAAUUUUCCGCAAUGGGCGCAAGCCUGACGGAGCAAUACCGCGUGAGGGAGGAAGGCUCUUGGGUCGUAAACCUCUUUUAUCAGGGAAGAACACAAUGACGGUACCUGAUGAAUCAGCAUCGGCUAACUCUGUGCCAGCAGCCGCGGUAAUACAGAGGAUGCAAGCGUUAUCCGGAAUUAUUGGGCGUAAAGCGUCCGCAGGUGGUUUUGAAAGUUUGCUGUCAAAGCGCGAGGCUCAACUUCGUAACGGCGGUGAAAACUUCAAGACUAGAGCUAGGUAGGGGUCACGGGAAUUCCCAGUGUAGCGGUGAAAUGCGUAGAUAUUGGGAAGAACACCAGCGGCGAAAGCGCGUGACUGGGCCUGAGCUGACACUCAUGGACGAAAGCUAGGGGAGCGAAAGGGAUUAGAUACCCCUGUAGUCCUAGCCGUAAACGAUGACAACUAGGUGUUGCCCG